CGCUCUUCCAAUCUGUCGGAUAUAGGCUAACCGAAUCAAAAUGAUUAGUUGAAACAUGUGAUCGAGAUCAGGCCAGGCUCGAACCAUAUAAAAAGAUAGGUUGGGCACUGAGCGAGUGGUGCGCGC